rnacentral:lncRNA from 1 species
UUACUAAUAAUUUUGGACACCUUGAAUAUGAAGAGGUUUCAAUUUUCAGAAAGCCAGCCUAUUCCAACAGCCCCAGUUGUACCCAGAAGGCAACAUUCAACUUUCAAUCCACUCUAGGCUGGGCUUGGUUAAAGCCGGUGAGGGGGGACAUUGCUACUGACUCCCUUGCUAGCACUGAGAAACUCUGCCUGCUGCAUGAUCACACCUUCUAUGAACCUCCCACACCCACUGCAUGGUAUGUCGGUGUCUCUGAGUUGAGUUUCACCCCCAUUCCUUCCCAUAAAUAUUCAAUUCUGUACUGCUAAAGCUGCCUGGAUGCUAAAGUCCUACAUCCACGCAGCAAAUUGUGACAACUGUCCUGGUGGCAGGACAUGAUUAGGCUCGGCUCAGUCUUUUAGCCAACUUCAAUGAUCUUCUGGCAAAACAAAAAGCACUUGGCUGGGUCUGUCUAACAACUGUCAGAAAGCUGCAGACAUUGGGAGGAAUCCGUCAGGAAUUCUUGGAGAGUCACUAGCUUAAAAGAAAUGGCCACUUAUUUGGAGCCUGACCACUUUAUAACUAGAAUCUACUAUAGCGCUUUUUAAACCAUACAUUAGGUAAGUAAGAGCCUAUACUGAAAGCUGACCAUAAGAUGUGAUUUAAGUUGGCAUCUAGAUAUGAACCACCAUGCCCGGUUCAUGUGGUCCUGGGAAAGAAAUAGACAUGCUAGGCAAAGACUCUACCAACCAAGUCACACACCCAGCCCCCAAAAAGUUAAUUUUUAAAAGCCUAUUACCUUUUUGUUCACCUUUUAAAAGAAUCAUCUUUGUAUGACUGCUCUUUUUCAGACUGUUCUUGAAGUCCUGAUUGAAUGGGGCCUCCUGCCUCAGUGUCCAGCUACAUUCUAGAACGCUUGAUUGCGGUACAACUGCUUGCUACCGAGGCUUCUCCCUCCACGAGCACAUUAAGUGAUGCACUGCCAUACUUUUAGUCAUUCUUCCAACCGGUAGCUGAAAUUUCUACAUUUCUUAUUAGUGCAUUUUAAGUCAAAUAUUAUAAAUAAAAUACAAUUGUUCUUAAAGUUCUUCUUCCUU